rnacentral:lncRNA from 12 species
GUUAAAAAGACUUUUGUAGAUUUUAACAAAGUUAAUAAUUUAACUAUGUGAUCUUAUUUCAUCCUAGUUUUUUUUUUUAUUUUUAUUUUUUAUGUUAACCGUCUAAUUUAUUUGGUCUGCUCAGUGGCCCACAGUGGGCCUCAUCCUAGUUUUUUAAAGUAUAAACAAAUGCAGCAAUAUCUUACAUUAUUUAACUAGUAAGUACUUUCUAUCUUAUUUGUAUAUAUUGCUAUACCUUCAGUCAUACCUUAAUAUCUGAUAAAGAAAGCUUAGUCUGUGAGGGACAUUUGUGUCCUGGAACAAAAUUUAAAGCACUAAAUCAUUUUGUGUGUCUACAAUGGACAAAUGAUAGUGUAUCUCUGUCUCUAUAGAUUUUAAUUGUUAUAUCAACCAGAUCUCAAAACUAUGAGAAAGUUUUGACAAAAUAUUGGCCUAGAAUGAAUUAUAAUUUAUGCUGAAAGAUUUUAAGUCCAUUCUAUUUUGCAUCGAAGUGCAAGAGUGAGUAAAUUAUGUAUGAUGACUUCUCCUCACUUAAAACCACUUGUAAAAGAAGAAUAUGUUUGUUUACAUCUCACUAAUAUGCCAAUGUUUAGGUAGUUAUGUUUACUCCUGUUUGCCACAGGUAAACUGGAUAGAACAUCAGACAGCUCAUUAUAGAGACAAGUAUGCUCCAUUCCCAAAGUUGGAUGACAGAACAAGUCAUGACCUUCUGUGGAGGAAAAUGAGAUCCCGAGUGAAGUCUACAAUGUCAUUGACUCUGAAGAAGGACUCAGAGACCCAUUGGUGUUUAAUGACCCUUACUGGCCUAUGCAAUGGGAACUGCUGUGGAGGAUGGUUGGUGGAGCAGCAUGGAAGUAUCAUGGAAUUCAGUAUGCCUGAAGCAGCAGGGAGGCAUUUCCGGGUAGGUCUCCAUCUGGAGAUCAUGCUUUUUACAACUAAAAGCCUUAAUGAUCUCUAUUCCUCUUUUCUCAUAUCACCAUCACCAAAAAGUAAAGAUGUGCAGGGCAAGUGGCAAGUAGUGGCCAAAGAGAAAGGAAUGGUUAUAGCUGACAUUAAGCAAAAAUAAACUGAAGAGAAUGAGACCUCUGUAAUUUUCAGCACAGCAUUCACCUUGAUCUCUCCUGCCUGCCAUUUCAGUGCCACUGAUAGACCUUCUUUUAUCAUGUAGGACAUGAUAGGUCCAAUUUUAGGUACUGACUGAAGAUUGUUCUCAAACAGGUCGCUACCUACUCUCAUAUUAAGUAGUGAUCGCAUGACCUUGGAUUGCAGCUCUUUCCUGUUUAUGGGGUUUAUUCUUACAGCGAUGACUCAGGUGGGUCUGUCAUUUGUGGAUAUUCCUCUCCACUCUACUCUUGAUUUCUUGUGCACAUCCCUCAUUAUGGAGACAUCCAUAGCUCCUGGCAUCUGUUCCCCUCUUUGGUGGAUUGCAGAGCUGAUGAACCUGAUCUGACUCUUUGGUCUUUCUACUAAAGAAGUGAAACAGACAGGUUUAGCAGGUACAUAAAAGUAACAAUAGUGAGAACAAAAAAGUUUUAAUUGGCCAAAAUUUAGUCAGAACUUUGAGCAAUUGCAAAACAAAACAAAACAAAACAAAACAAAAAACCAGAAAACAAAACAAAACAAAAAACUCUGAAAUUUAUGUAAUACUUAACUACCCAGUAGAACCUAUUCAUGGGGACCAGACACAGCAAGGAAUAGAGCAAAUGAAUGAAAAACAAAGCAUAAGUAGAUUCUCCAGUCUAAUAUGGCAUUUCCCUUGACCUAUGAAGGUCCACAACAUGAGCAGCUGAAUCUCUGAAUCUCUGUGUAAAAAUCUCUGAUAAUUCUUUGAAGGUUAGGUGCCAAAUUGUGUUCACCCACAUCUCAUUUGGCAAACAGAUCUGAUCACUGUUGUCCUUUUUCAUCCUCCCAUCACUGAUGGACUCUUCUCGUCCCAAUAAUUCCUUUGACACUCCAAGAAAUUCUGAUUUUCUACCCUGAAUAUGCUACUGUGGGUAAAGCAUUGCCUGUACCCCUGAUGAUUACUCCUAUGAAUGGUUUACCUAGAGGGCAACAUCUAAGCAAAACAACAGAAUAAUAAACUAAAGAAAACAAAGGGAGAGUUUCUUUUA